CACGUAGGGGGCAAGCGUUGUCCGGAUUUAUUGGGCGUAAAGAGCUCGUAGGCGGUUUGGUAAGUCGGGUGGUAAACCCCCAGGCUCAACCUGGGGACGCCACUCGAUACUGCUGUGACUAGAGUCCGGUAGGGGAGCGUGGAAUUCCUGGUGUAGCGGUGAAAUGCGCAGAUAUCAGGAGGAACACCAGCGGCGAAGGCGGCGCUCUGGGCCGGUACUGACACUGAGGAGCGAAAGCGUGGGUAGCAAACAGG
rnacentral:rRNA from 1 species